CAUUAGAUGACUGAAACGUAAGUUCUGGUCUCUUAAACCAUAUUAUAAUAUAGUAACGUAUAUUUCUAAUGG
rnacentral:tRNA from 1 species